rnacentral:rRNA from 1 species
GACAGAGGGUGCAAACGUUGUUCGGAAUUACUGGGCGUAAAGCGUGCGCAGGCGGCCUUGCAAGUCGGGCGUGAAAUCCCACGGCUCAACCGUGGAAGUGCACUCGAAACUGCUCGGCUAGAGUCUUGGAGAGGAAGGCGGAAUGCUUGGUGUAGAGGUGAAAUUCGUAGAUAUCGAGAGGAACAACUGAGGUGAAGACGGGUUGCUGGGCCGACACUGACGCUGAGUGCGCGAAAGCCAGGGGAGCAAACGGG